AACGCCGUCACUGCGUAUCAUCUCGAUUUACAGAUUACUUUGAAUUUAUGCCUCCCUGCGGCUGUCAGGGGAGCAGAUUAUAGCAAGGAAACAAACAGUGAGGGGCGUUCAUUUUCUUCUGACAUUGAGAAAAUACCGAAUCAUUGCGGUUUUUUUUUGUUUUGUUUUUUUUUUUUUGUCCACGAUCAACCCUGCGAGUCCAAUAUUUUCCCAGUGAUUGACACGGUUGUGUAGCUUUCCCUGCUGUUGGCACAUUUUCGACAGGAACGUUCCCAAUUAUCCUCUCAAUUCAGCACAACUGUGAAUCCACCUCGCUGUGACAGAAAACGAGACGAUGUUUCUGCAAUUCAACGCUAGAAGCUGGAAACUGAACGCAAUUUGAGGGCGCUGGCUAGUCAUUCACUUUUAAUGAAGUGAUGCGGUGAAAACAAAUGAGCCUUGGAUGUAUCUGGUUGGGUACCGAUGCAGACUGACAGCCGAGGGAAAGAAAAUGCAGGCGGGGGGAUCAUUACUUGUUUUCAUUUGGCUUCGCAGCACUUCUGCUCCCGACCCAUCGAGGCGCCUGCCCUCGUAACGACCCUGUCACGGAGCUCCGCUCGACUGAUUCAGCGAAGCCAGAAGGCUCAAGGGCGCCAUCUGUUCCGCCGAAGACGCACUGACAACGCUUGUAAUUAACUCAGCACCGAGGAGACGUCCGGGCGCAUCGCUUCGGCCCCCCGUUCCCCUCCGUCAGGCCGUCGUUACGUCUCUUUGGGGUGCUCGGCGUUACGGCUGUUGUGCUUCUUCAGGAGGAUAGUAUUUUGACUUUACUCUAGUUUUAUUACGUAGAGGUUUACU